GGAGAGCGUCUGCCUUACAAGCAGAGGGUCACAGGUUCGAGCCCUGUAUCUUCCA
rnacentral:tRNA from 1 species